GCCCCGCCCCUGCCGGCUGGGGUUCCCGAGUCCCUUGCACCGCGACCCCCGCACGUCUGUGAACAUGGCGCUGCGAGCGGUGCGGAGCGUGCGGGCUGCGGCCUGCAGUCUGCGCGUCGCCUCCGCGCCCGCCGCACCCUGCCUGACGCGGCCCUGGGGGCUGAGGGCGGGCGCCGUCCGGACACUGCGCACGGGCUCCGCUCUGCUCUCCGUCUUUUUUCUAGGAGUCCUUGAAUAGUUCGGCCAUGUCUUUGAAGAAAAGAAGCUCAUAAAGCCAAGGGCUAACCUGUCCAUUGAAUGUUGAGCAGAACUUGACUUUCCACCAGUUAAUGCCUUAGCUCUGAGGUGACUGUUGAGUUCUGAUCUUAUAGUUCGUUUCUUUAAAUGAUAGUCGCCACUUUCUUCAAGGGCAGGCUUGAAUUCAAUGAAAAUGGAAUUUUAAGAACUUAGUCAAGUUAUAAUUGUUGCAGGUCAAUUUCAUUCAUGUAAGAUUCCACUUUAUAACCACGAUGCAGUGAAGCCCUCUUAGGUCAACUCUACCUAAAGAGGCACAUUUUUUUUUCUUCAGGUUAAAUCGUUUAUAAGCAUUAUGAGCAUUUAUGCUCCCUCACCCCAAGUCUACAGAGGGACAGACUACCUUCUGUAAGACAGACCAGUAAUAGAUGAGUAUACAUUUUGAAGUACGCUCCACAAUAGUUUGUAUGUGUAAUUUAGACUAAUGUUGGAAUAACCAAAUCUCCAAAAGAUGCACAAGGUGUUAUUCACAUCAAGCCAUCUUUGCCUAAAUGAUACUACUCUUGAGAAGAUGUUCCGUCUUUUCACGUGAUCUGGCUUUUCCUGGGCAGUGUAUUAUUGAAACGCAGUGUUAAGUCAAACACAAAUAGUGGGAAAGUCUUGCCUUUUGACAGUAUUGAUAUGAAAAGUGCUUUUUAAGAAGUGAUACCACUGCUUUUCUGAAAUAUUGGUCUUCUAUUUUAGUGCGUAAAUUCACAGACAAACAUGAAUGGAUAACAACAGAAAAUGGUAUUGGAACAGUGGGAAUCAGCAAUUUUGCACAGGAAGCUCUGGGAGAUGUUGUUUACUGUAGUCUGCCUGAAGUUGGGACAAAACUGAACAAACAAGACGAGUUUGGUGCUUUGGAAAGUGUGAAAGCUGCUAGUGAACUCUAUUCUCCUCUAUCAGGAGAAGUAACUGAAAUUAAUGAAGCUCUUGCAGAAAAUCCAGGACUUGUCAACAAAUCUUGUUAUGAAGAUGGUUGGCUGAUCAAGAUAGCACUCAGUGAUCCUUCAGAACUGGAUGAAUUAAUGAGUGAAGAAGCAUAUGAGAAAUACAUAAAAUCUAUUGAGGAGUGAAAAUGGAACCCCUAAAUAAACUAGUAUGAAACAACUUAAUCUAGCAUAGUUGUCUUAAAUUAGUGGUACACAGAGGAUUUAAAAUAGCAGCUAUUAGCAAUACCUGUGGAGAAAGAAACUACUUGCAACAAUGCUAAUGGAAGAAAAUACCCCUUAACUUUAUAAUGAUUGCAGAAAAACACAACAUGCAUCUGUUUUGCAACACCCUCUGAUUUUUAUGCUCCAGUUAUAAUAUUCAGAAUCCUGAAAUUAUCUUUGGUUAAGAACUAGUUAUAAAAAUUAUGUAAUUCAAGGAUGACAUUGUUACCUUAAGCCUUAAGCUUACAUCUAUCCCUGGAUGGGGGUCAAAAUGCUUAAAUAAUCUUUCCAUUGGAAAUAACUGGCAGUAGAGAAAGGUUUGUUAGUUGUUAUGUGUCAGAUGAAGAACAAUACUACCUUAAUUUUGCAAUAUACUGCACUUGCUGGUGCUAUUUUU